rnacentral:tRNA from 1 species
UGAUGUGUAGCUCAGUCGGCAGAGCGAGGGUUUGUUAAACCCCAGGUCGCAGGUUCGAGUCCUGCCGCAUCAG